UCUACCUACGGGGGGCAGCAGUGAGGAAUAUUGGUCAAUGGUCGGGAGACUGAACCAGCCAAGCCGCGUGAGGGAGGAAGGUACAGAGUAUCGUAAACCUCUUUUGUCAGGGAACAAAGGCGGGGACGUGUCCCCGGAUGAGUGUACCUGAAGAAAAAGCAUCGGCUAACUCCGUGCCAGCAGCCGCGGUAAUACGGAGGAUGCGAGCGUUAUCCGGAUUUAUUGGGUUUAAAGGGUGCGUAGGCGGACUGUUAAGUCAGCGGUAAAAGCCCGGGGCUCAACCCCGGCGAGCCGUUGAAACUGGC
rnacentral:rRNA from 1 species